AAUACAAAAGCUUUACAAUAGCAGUACACGAGCUGUACAAUGUGCAAAGUGCACCGCCGUUGCACAUGACCUGCAGGUUCACAGCUGUGAACCACAGCACUCACUGCUUUCUUCAUACAUUUGAACUAUCCCUGCAUGACAGGUACGAAUUCAUAGCAAAUCCUAACAUGACCGAUGCAACUCAGCCAGCAACUCUUACCAUGGAAAAGGGUCCAACAGUCUAACGUCAGAAAAAAUGGACACACAAAUGUUAAGCGCAUGUAAAUGUACCACAAUACAGCCACUAUUGUCUUCUUAUUAAAGCGCUCAAUCCUCGCCUCCGCUGAUGUCAUCUUCACGAACGAUGGCAUAUAUCUGCAUAUGAAAGGAUCACAACAAAUCAUUGUUUAGGCAGGAACACAUAGUUGUGAGCAUGUUACGUACAAUGACGGCUGUAGGUGUGACACCGGCAUAACGUGCCUCGAAAUAAGGCAAUAAAAAGCAUUUAGUUAAUAGCCAUGGUCUUGCAACCAGAGGCUUCAUACCUCCGAACACUACGUGGCCUGCCACGUCCCGUUUGAGCCCGACUCUUGUUCAUAUCCUUACCACCAUCCUUGCGCUUGUCCUAUUCCUUGCGAUUCUCCUGCUCGUGUCCUGUUAAUGUUAAAUGACAAGGCAUAAUGUCAGUGUAUGCACCUGCAUGAUGGCCACUUACUGCCGGUGCCGUCUAGUCCCCCUUUUCCUGCUUUCCCCUGCUUGCCUGCGAAUGAAUGCUGCGCCAUUAUAGAGGAAGAAAGACAGAUUCUUGUUAUGAAGAUGCUAAUUCAUUAGGCUUUACCUUACACUGUCGUCAUUGGAGGAUCAGCGUGAGUAUAAGCAAUGCAUACGCGCUAAACAACAAAUUCAAGAUAAUCUUAUUAGUGCAAUGCGCGCAAUGAAUUACUGCCC
rnacentral:lncRNA from 1 species